CUGGCUUCAGUCGGCCUUCUUAAUUGUUUUCCUCUUCCCUCCUCGCAUUGCCGCCUCUCCCCCGCCGCAUCCUUCCCUAUUUUGCCUCCCGUUUUCUCCGUGCUUCGUUUCUGCUGUGGUCUCACUGCCCUACCCAUGGCGGAGUACAAGGGUGGCAGCGGAGCGAUCGGUGGCAAGAUCCGGAGGCACUACUUCCGCCGCACAACGCCCUACGACCGCCCCCUUCCGCUCGCGAGGCCCGUCCGUGACCAACAAGCGGCGGAACGUGACAACGGUUGGCUGUCUAAGCUCUUGGACCCCGCUUCCCGGGCCAUUGCCUGGAGCGCCUCGCUCCUCUUCCCCUCCGUCUUCCAGAAGCGGCUGGAGGCUCCCCCGUCUACCCCACCAGAGAAAAAGCAGGGAUCUAAGGAAGAAGUCCUUGAAUACUGCCGCACUAAUUCAUUACCUGCAAAACAAGAACUAUUUCCCAGCCACGAAAAGAAUGCUGUUAGCUGUCUUAAUGCUGGCUGUGCUCAGGAUGGAACUCAUUCUUCUUGUAUUGAUGGAGAAUUUUAUCAGCUACUGACUAAGAAAACAUAUACAAGGAGUGAGUUUGAUCGCAUCACUCAAAUAUUAUGUCUUAGAGUCACAGAACCAAGUACACCAGAAAUGACUAUUAUUGAGGAUAAAGAAAUGAGAAACGCCCCUGAUAAAAUAGAUAACCAGAAUCUGUGCGUUAUUGAUCCAACAGUUCAACCAACAUUAAGUGCUGAGAAAAAGAAUAAAGCUAUUGCUACAGCAGAAGCAGGAAGUGCCCGUAGUUUGCAUGGAAACGAUGCAACUCAAGCUGUCUUAUUAGCUGUUUCCAAGGAAGAAGUUGCAUCGCCAAUCGAAAUUGCUAAAGGUUACAUGAAUUUGAGGCCUUCUAAAUUAUCUCCAACAUCUCUAAGCAUGCAAACCCAAGAUUUCUUGUUGGCUAAAACUUUUCCUAGUGGUUCAUCAUAUGCCAAGCAAUCAUUUGAUAAGUCAUUGGCAUUAAGACCCGCAGUCCAAGUUUUGCAGUCCCUUGAGGCCCCACCAUACAGUUUUACGGAUUCAAACCUCAGAUCAGCAGUCAAUAAAAUGUCUCAUUCUCCAUACUUUAAGCCUCAUCCUGUGGCUAGUAGAGAAGUCUCUAAUCCUCUGGAGAUUACAUCUCACAACCACACACGCCUGAAACUUCAUGGGAGAUCAGCAAUAUAUAAAAUGGCUCGUUCUCCAUAUUUUAAUCCCCAUUUAGUAGCUAACUCAAGGAGUGGUGUGGAUGGUUGUGGUGGUCCUUUGGCAAAUAUUGAUAUUGCACGUUCUGGUCGGCAGAUGCUGAAACGAGGGAGCUCAGUUUUGAAUGAUGGAAUUGGAUCUGUCGGUCCCAUUCGUAGGACUCGUCACAAGUCUAAUAUAAUGUCUCCACCAAGAAGCUCAUUCUCAUCAACGCUGCAGUUCCCUUCUUCCUCAACUUAUGCAGAUGCAUCUUCUGUACCUUCCGGCCAAAAACUUCUGCAUUGGAGUGAGGAAAAGAAGAAUGACAAAGAACCGCAGAAUGUAGAAAGUCGUGUGUCUCCCUUUGUUCCAAUUCCUCUUCAAUCCAGUGAAAUGGCUAGGAAAAUACUGGAGCAACUUGAUAAAUUAGCUCCUUCCCCCAAAGUGAAACCAUCUAAUUUGAAAACUGAUAUGGAUGAAUCACCUCUUAUGCUAACUCAUGACGCACUGAGUAGUCAGGCCCUGAAAAGCAUGGAGAAAAUUGAAAGCACUAAGUUUGUGAAUGUGCAAGGAAGUGGUAGUUUCGAACCUUCCAAUCACAGUCAUCAUCAAAGAAAUCCUUUUUAUGAGAAGCAAUAUGAGGCUGCUGAAAAUGCGUCUCCAGCAUCUGAUACCAUGAAGUUUGAAAGAGCUGUUAUAGAGGUCAAACCUAGUGUAUCAGCUAUAAAUUUUACUGUUUCAGAAGCUGCUACUAUGUCUGCUAAAAGAAAACCUUCCUUCCGGAUGAGCAUUCCUGAGGGCUUAGAUGAGUUGGAUGAUAGAGAUGAUUCUGUAAAGAAUUCUUCCGGUUUAACUCUGAUUGCAAAAGGUAAAUCUGAACUAUUGUCAGACAUCAAGACUACACAAAUUGCAGAAACUGGUUGGGGGGUUGCUAAAAAAUAUUCCUCUACUAGUGUUCCUGUAUCUACAACAAUCUUGGAUACAAAUAUCUUGAAUGCCCCUAAUGUGUCUUGCAAUGGUAACAUAAAUGGAGUCCAUUUUCUGGCAUCACCUUCACCUAAUUCUUCAUCAGUACUUUCAGCAAUUCCUACUUCAGCCAUGCCUCCUGUGCAACCUGCUCUAAGAGAGGAAGUUUCAUCUCCUACAACAAAAGUUGGCUUAGUGGCAUAUUCAUCUGGAUCUCCUUCAGCAGUUGUUGGUUCUAAUGACCCACAAUUUCUUGCAAGUGAUGAAAACAGAAAAAGCAUAUCUUCAAGCUCAGAUUUUGAUAAAGUUGUCAAAACAGUUAAUUCAUUGGGAGAUGCUACACCUAUCUUGAGCUUAACUAGCUCUGGUGUUUCUUCAACUUCCAAACUAACUGACGACACUGCUUUGACAAAUGAGUAUAUGAAGCCGUCCGUUUUCACUUCAAGCAACUUUGCCACUCCAAGUACCUCUAUUGCAUUGUCAAGUACUGUUAGUGCUUCUUCAGUCCCUUUCUCAGUAUUUACAAACAUGAGAAGUAGCUCUUCUCCUCUGUGUGCUUCAACUUCUUCGAAUGGACUUCUAAGAUUUGGUGCAUCAUUGCAGCCAAAUGGUGCUAGCUCACUUUUUUCUAACAGUUCGCAGAGUAUUUCUUGUGCCGUUUCAGCUGGAUUUAGUUUUGCUAGUCAGCCUGUAGAGACUAGUUCUGUUGUGUCAAAUCCUUUGUCGAGCACAUCUGGUGGUGCCAUUCAGGAAUCUGCUUCUUCUGCUUCUUUAUUUGGCUUCUCAAGUGCUCUCACAAAGCCUCUUGAUGCAAGUUCUGGUCUCGCAUUGCCUACUUUUACUGGAUCAUCUUCAAACUCCGGCAGUUCUACUACAUUUAUGACAACUUUAAGUUUUGGUUCAAAUUCUGGCUUUUCUUCCCUUUCCAGUUUUACCCUUUCAUCUGAAGGUGUUGGAAGUGGCAGAUCCCUAGCGUCAACUGCACCUUUGUCAACUGCACCUUUUGGUUCAAGCAGUGUGUUUCCUUUUGUUACUGGAAAAUCUUCAGACGCUGGCAGUUCUGAUACAAUUGCAUCAAAUUCUGGUUUUUCCCUUUCUACUGCUAAUGCUUCAUCUCAAAGUACUUGCAGCAGCAAUUUCCUUUCCUCAACUGCACCUUUUGGAUCAAGUGGUGUUCCCAUUCUGCCACGUGUUACUUGCUCAACCAAUUUUAGUGCAAACGCUGCAUCAUUUGGCUCAAAUUCCCAGGCAUCCAAAUCAUCAGUCUCUAUCCCUACUUUUGGUUCUAUAUCAUCUUCACCAGCUACAGGUGUUUUAAUCACAUCAUCUCCUUCAGAGAGUCUUCCGUUUUCAUUUGCAGCAUCUUCGAUGCCAGCAUUUUCAUUUGGUUCAACUGGAAGCACAUCAUCCCUAUCUGCCUCUGUUGCACAGCCUGUGUUUGGAACACCAAAUCAAUUAGCUGCUUUGAAUUCUUCACCUGGAAAUGAUAAGAUGAGUGUCGAGGAUAGCAUGGCUGAUGAUCCAAUCCAGCCGUCUACUUCAUUGGGGAGAUUUGGGCAACAAACCAAUAUACCUUCACCACCAAAUUUUAUUUUUGGUUCUCCAGCUGCUCCUGGUGGACAACCCUUUCAAUUUGGCAGCCAGCAAAAUGAUAUUGUUCCUCCCCCGUCUCCAUUCCAACCAGCUCCAAAUUUAGAUUUCAGCGCUGGAAGUAGCUUUUCUCAGGGAACUGGAGGUGGAGAUAAGUCUGACCGAAAAUUUGUGAAAGUCAGAAGAGAUGAGCAUCGAAAAAAGUAGAAGGUUUUGAAAGAAGGUGAUAAGUAAGAUUUUCAUAAUCAUUAGCAGAAGAUGAAAUCGCGGGCCACUGGAAUUAUCAAAAGAGACACGAGUAGGAUUGACUCGAUCAAAGCUGCAGCCUUGCAGAAAAAAACGACGAUCCCACCACCCACUUUUGCAAGCCCGAGAACCUUCCUUGCAUCGAACAGCUCACAGAGUGUGCAAGGAGAAGUUGUAAUGUUCCAUUGCCAUUCACUUUUUCACCAAAAGGGCCAACUCCAUCACAUGCAAAGCAAGGCCACUCGUACUACGUAUAUUAGUUAAUUUGCUUUUCAAAAACAUUGGAGAUAACUCGAUCAUUCAUUGAUUUGUCGACGAUUAGACAAGCCACUAGCACCAUGUCCCUGAUUUGCAUAAUAUUAGGUAGUGGUGUAAAUCAGACAGGGCCCGACCUAGCUAGUCCAAGAGUCAGGCUGAAUGAUAGA